rnacentral:misc_RNA from 1 species
AACCUAGCACACCUGCGGUGUGUACCUGCGGAGGGAUCAUUAAUGAGUUAGGGUCUUUUAGGCCCGACCUCCUAACCCCAUGUUUACUGAACCUAUGUUGCUUCGGCGGGCCCGUCUCGCGACCGCCGGGAGGACCGUAAGACGUCCUCUGGCCCGCGCCCGUCGGUGGCCAAACUUGAAAUUCUGAUUAAACCGUGUUAAACUAUCUGAGUUCUAUUCUUAAAUUAAAGCAAAAACUUU